UUCUUAUCAGGUUAGAAGAUUCCCAAGCCCUCACUUCAGAGUUUAGAGCUGCGGGAUCAGAACAAAGGGGAGUUACUUCUGAGUUUCCAGAGUGGGCAAUAGCUCUUAGAUCAGCUAAGAGGUGGUCUUGAGCUGGGCAUGUUGAUUGACAUCUGAACUGAGACCCUGAGGCUUGAGGGGGAGAGAGGUGCGAGGGGAGUGGGGGGUGGGGAUAGUAUAAUAAAGUUCUCAGGGCCUCAGGGGUCAUUCUCCAGAGGGAUGUUUUAACCACAGAAAGGGAAAGGUGUGCUGGUACAGAUGUUCUGUAGGUUGACUUAAAGAAAAAUUAGCUAUUGUGAUGCCCCGUAAGUUCUUCCCAGGGCCCACACUGUAAGAGGAUGGUAAUUACAACCACCCAGCCAUCCAGGUGCUGGAGAACACCCUCUUCCCAUUCUCAGUCUUUUCCUCCAACAGCAUCUCAAAUGAUUAUGCCCCGGAAAGAAAAGAGGGCAAGGGCUUUACCUUAGACACUUCCCUAGACAAGUGAUCAGAACAGGCUGGUGCUGGAACCUUUCCCACAAAGCACUUACCUCUUAUUUUUCUUCCUCCUGGAUGUCAGGCUGCUCCCAGAUGACGCGGCUCUUUGCUCUUCAUGGUAUGGACACCUUUGCCACCAGACGUCUGCAGAUUAAAUCCACUGGGGAGUGGCUGCUGAAUAGCGUUAACAAUCUCACUUUGCCAUCAUCUUUGGGUUACGAUGAAGAGUUGUGCCUUACCACCGAGCAAGACAUUGUGUGGAAGGCAUUUCUUCAAGGUUGGCUCCUUGAUGAUGUCAUUUCCAUGACCAAAGGGUAUAUUUCUAAAGGAUCUGGAAUGCACAACAGAGUUAGAACAUGCAAAAGAUGCCACACCUCAGUUGCAGGUAGGUAA
rnacentral:lncRNA from 1 species